GACGUAGGGCGCGAGCGUUGUCCGGAUUUAUUGGGCGUAAAGAGCUCGUAGGCGGCUUGUCGCGUCGUCCGUGAAAACUUGGGGCUCAACUCCAAGCUUGCGGUCGAUACGGGCAGGCUCGAGUUCGGUAGGGGAGACUGGAAUUCCUGGUGUAGCGGUAGAAAUGCGCAGAUAUCAGGAGGAACACCGGUGGCGAAGGCGGGUCUCUGGGCCGAUACUGACGCUGAGGAGCGAAAGCGUGGGGAGCGAACAGG
rnacentral:rRNA from 1 species